rnacentral:rRNA from 1 species
AGGACGAACGCUGGCGGCGUGCUUAACACAUGCAAGUCGAACGGUGAAGCCCUUCGGGGUGGAUCAGUGGCGAACGGGUGAGUAACACGUGAGCAAUCUGCCCUUGACUCUGGGAUAACUUCGGGAAACCGGAGCUAAUACCGGAUAUGACAUACGGCCGCAUGGUCUGUGUGUGGAAAGAUUUAUCGGUCAGGGAUGAGCUCGCGGCCUAUCAGCUUGUUGGUGGGGUAAUGGCCUACCAAGGCGACGACGGGUAG